GACGAACGCUGGCGGCGUGCCUAAUACAUGCAAGUAGAACGCACAGUUUAUACCGUAGCUUGCUACACCAUAGACUGUGAGUUGCGAACGGGUGAGUAACGCGUAGGUAACCUGCCUGGUAGCGGGGGAUAACUAUUGGAAACGAUAGCUAAUACCGCAUAAUAUUGAUUAUUGCAUGAUAAUUAAUUGAAAGGUGCAAUUGCACCACUACCAGAUGGACCUGCGUUGUAUUAGCUAGUAGGUGAGGUAACGGCUCACCUAGGCGACGAUACAUAGCCGACCUGAGAGGGUGAUCGGCUACACUGGGACUGAGACACGGCCCAGACUCCUACGGGAGGAAGCAGUAGGGAAUCUUCGGCAAUGGACGAGAGACUGACCGAGCAACGCCGCGUGAGUGAAGAAGGUUUUCGGAUCGGAAAGCUCGGUUGUAAGAGAAGAACGGGUGUGAGAGUGGAAAGUUCAAACUGUGACGGUAUCUGACCAGAAAGGGACGGCUAACUACGUG
rnacentral:rRNA from 1 species